AUUUAUUUUUUCCAUGUAAUCUGUGAGAUAUUGUCCUUUGAUUAAAUGAUUAAUAUUUAACAUGGGUUUCAAUGUCAGUCAGAUCUAGGACCUUACUCAAAAUAGAUAGAUAGAUAAAUAGAUAGAUCUGUAUUGUCCUCAAAGAGCACAUUUGUUUUCACUUAGUGUAUAUAAACUUCUGACCCACUGGAAUUGUGAUACAGUGAAUUAUAAGUGAAAUAAUCCGUCUGUAAACAAUUGUUGGAGAAAUUACUUGUGUCAUGCACAAAGUAGAUAUCCUAAAUGACUUACCAAAACUAUAUUUUUUUAACAAGAAAUUUGUGGAGUGGUUGAAAAACGAGUUUUAAUGACUCCAACCUAAGUGUAUGUAAACUUCCGACUUCAACUGUAUCAACUUUCUUUAAAGUUUAAAAGUAAUAAACAAUCAAAGCAAAAAAAGCCACUUUUGCGUCCAUGUUUGGUUUUGAGCUAUGAUGUCCUCUGCUGUCAAAGUGUCUAGUCCAACAACAGGAACCCAGCGUUUUUGAUGUCCCGUUUCUGGUGACAAUGUCUUCUGGCUGUGCCGGGGUGGAAAUGAUAACAGUACAUGGUCAAGAUGUUCAAACGUUCAUAGAUGACCAGCAGGGUCAAAUAAUAAUAAUCACAGUGGUUGUAGAGGGUGCAACAGGUCAGCACCUCAGGAGUAAAUUACAGUUGGCUUUUUAUAGCCGAUCAUUCAGAGUUAGAGAAAGCAGGAGAGAGAGAGAAAGACGAAAACAGGAAGUACGAGACAAGGUAGCACGUCUGCUGAACAGGUCAGGUUUCCAUAGCCGCAGGCAGAACAGUUGAAACUGGAGCAGCAACAUGACCAGGUGGACUGGGGACAGCAAGGAGUCAUCAGGCCAGGCAUGGUUCUAGGGCUCAGGUCCUCAGAGAGAAAGAGAGAGAGAGAAUUAGAGGGCGCAUACUUCAAUUCACACAGGACACUGGAUAAGACAGGAGAAAUACUCCAGAUAUAACAGACUGACCCUAGCCUCCCAACACACAAACUAUUGCAGCAUAAAUACUGGAGGCUGAGACAGGAGGGGUCGGGAGACAUUAUGGCCCCGUCCGAUGAUACCCUCAGACAGGGCCAACCAGGAAGGAUGUAACCCCACCCACUUUGCCGAAGCACAGCCCCCACACCACUAGAGGGAUAUCUUCAAACCACCAACUUACUACCCUGAGACAAGGCCGAGUAUAGUCCACCAAGAUCUCCCCCACGGCACGAGCCCGAGGGUGGCGCCAACCCGGACAGGAAGUUCACAUCAGUGACUCAAUCCACUCAAGUGACGCACCCCUCCUAGGGACGGCAUGGAAAAGCACCAGUAAACCAGUGACUCAGCCCCCGUAAUAGGGUUAGAGGCAGAGAAUCCCAGUGGAGAGAGGGGAACCGGCCAGGCAGAGACAGCAAGGGCGGUUCGUCGCUCCAGUGCAUUUCCGUUCACCUUCACACCCCUGGGCCAGACUGCACUCAAUCAUAGGACCUACUGAAAAGAUGAGUCUUCACUAAAGACUUAAAGGUCAAGACCGAGUCUGCGUCUCUCGCACAGAUAGGCAGACCAUUCCAUAACAAUUUAGCUCCAAAGGAGAAAGCCCUGUCUCCAGCUGUUUGCUUAGAGAUUCUAGGGACAAUAAAGAGGCCUGCAUCUUGUUCUCCGGCUGUAUCCACUGAAGUAGUGGUGGGUGAGCGAGGUUCAAGGCACGAGAGCAGGGGGCACGGGAUGGGCUGCAGAGCCGGACCUAGCCCAUGGGGAAGGGAGGAGGUAACACAGAGCGACACUUUAAUGGGCAUUGCACUAAUAAUGGCGCUGACUAGGGAAACGUUCCCGUUUUUCUUAGUGCCAGUCUACACGAAAUGCCCCUUAAAUAUGAAUUCGAGGGGAGAUAUGAUUAAAUAUUAAAGCAUUAGACCUCUCACUAAAGGCGUCACACAAAAGUUAUAAUUAAAUCCGAACUGGUUUUAACGAAAAAUUUUGUGAAAAGCACACAUUUGUAAUCCCAAAGACUAAAAGUAAUUGGAAAGGUAGAUACAAAUUAUUUGUGAGAUUGUGGUUACAGUAAAGAAUGUACACAAGAUGCUGUGUUUUUAUUUACAUUACUGAUGGACAGCUGGUGGCUUUUUGAAAACAGGUUUUCAAACACUUGUAGCCCGAUUAGCAGGACAAUGGACACUUUGUAGCCCGGCUACUGUAGGUGUGAAAGUCACAACUUUCCAGUUCUCCUCACACCGCACCAAACUCCACCCUGGUAACACAGCUGCUUAUCUAAAAAUGACAUUGCGACCAAAGAGAACUGGUGAAAGUCAAAGCAAACAAACAUGUGUUUUCUAUUUAUUUAUUUUUUGCAUCAUCUUUGCAAUGCAAAAAAGAAAGGCCAUACAUUUACCUAGGAAGCUGGGUGUAAUGGUGAUGUUGUCCACAAGAGGGUGGCAGUGUAUGUGCAAAGCUUCAGACUGAUACGUUCAAGAAUGAGAGCUCAACAUAAUAUUUUGUAUCAAGUCUCCCAGGUGUCCCUCACGAGUUUGCCCAGAUGUACACAAGUGGCCGAAUUGGUCACUUGAUACAUUUCCAAGUACAUAACUAUAGUGAACAUAAAAAAAUGCUAUGGUAAUAAAACAUUUAAGUUUACACUUAAAUGGUGAAACGAGCAGUCAAGGAAUCCCUGGAGGAACUGCUUUCGAGAGAAAUUAAAUUUGACUUUACAAACAAAAAAAUAAACCCUCAGGGUUUCCUCUAGGAUGGAAUGGAAAAUAUAGUGCUGUACAACGGGAGGAAGGAGUAGGCUGUCCUUGUAAAUAAGAAUUUGUUCUUUUUAACUAGUGAAAUAACGGUUACACUAAGAGCAUAACAUUUCUGCACCCUAAUUUUCUAAUUCUUGUCUAACCAAUACCCAAAAGGAGAUGAAGUGAAAAUAAAAAUCUAAUUGAUUUAUCAAGACCUGUCCCCAUGCUUGCCUCAGAGCAGCGUGAAACGAUGCUAAAGUAGUUGUAGGCUUUUGCUUCUAACUUCAAUAUGCUCUUUAAAUAUAUAAGACCUACACCAUUUUUUAACAGCACAUUACUCAACACAAGUGAGACUCAUUUCACCUAUGGUAGGCCUACAGUAUAUCACUUUUUUUUUUUUUUACAAUGAUGUGACUCUCCGCCAAUAAUUACAUUUAUUGGAGGGCUCUAAAUUAAUCUCUAAGGGGCAUUUUCCAUUAGGAUCUGUGAGAAUAUCUAAGGGGCUUUUAUAUCAUUCUAAAUUAAUUAAAUAAUAAUAAUAACCGCUUUGUUUAAAAAGUAACAAUAUUUUGGAGGUUUCCUUUUCAUCUAACCUAGAGUGAGCUAGAAAAAAGGCAAUUUUUGAACACGGGGUGAGACAUUCUCACUAAUUUGUAAAUAAAGCCAGUUAAUUAUUUAUUUCUGGAGAAACCUAACUUUGUCAUUUAGCAGACAUCACUUGCUUAUAUUCAUGAAGAUGAUGAGCGAUUGGCAAAGGCAAUCUGUAAUCUGCUGGCAUCACGACACGACAUCGACAUCGCUCUAAUUACAGGCUGAAAACAGUUGAAGAAACUUGCGUGGACUUGGGAAAGGCUCGGUAAAAAAUGUUUUAUUUAUAUAUUUUUUUUAAAUGAUCAGAACAUUAACCAUGUGUGUUCGCUUGUUUUGUACUGUUCUGUAGUUUCGACCAAAUGAUUCGUCUGACAAACAAAGAACUUUGCGUCCUGCAGGCCCAGGCAUGGAUCAAAGCUGGCGAGACAUUCAAUAAUGUCAUCUAUACAGACGAAUCACCCGUGGCCUUUGAGCAAUUUGCUCAAAAUUGCUACAGAAAAAAAGGAAGAAGAUCAAGCAAGCCAAGUCCCAAGCAUCCGCUCAAACUCCAUGUGUGGGGGGCAAUUUCUCGCCAGGCACGAGGCCCAUAUUGGAUUAUUGAUGAUAUCAUGGCUCGAGAUUUCUUUGAGGAACAUGACGGUCAGAGCGGUGUUUCUGGGUACACAUCAUUUCUUUCAAGACAAUGACCCAAAACACAUUGUUUUGCAUUGCAAAUGAGGCCAUAAACUGGGUCAAGACGCCAGCAGAGUCUCCUGAUUUAAACCCGAUCGAACUUGUUUGGCUUCAACUGAAAACAUUCAUCCGUAACUCUGCCAAGCCGACAGGCAAAGAUGAACUGGUCAAGGCCAUCAAGAUGUUUUGGCUAGCGAAAUUGACGCUACAACAAUGCAACAAAUACAUUGAUCAUCUCAGCCUGGUUUUACCUGUGGUCGUGGAGCUGGGUGGAAGUGCGACUAAAAUGUAGUUUAUAUAAACAUCCGCAUUUGAAUGUCUUUUUUCCCGUUAUUUUAUUAACAAAAGCAUAAAGAUGUUGAUGAACAAAUACUGUACUGCUGUUUUGAGUUAGAAAGGUAACACUUUAGAGUACUUAAGCAUCGAAUACAUUGCAAGUUGAGGGAUUUUCACAACAGUAGCCGUGUUAUAAAAAGUAUAUUGUCCUGCUAAUAGGAAACAUUUGCAUGAUGGGCUACACCUGCUACAUUUGGGAUGUCUUCACUAUUAUUCUACAAUGUAGAAAAUAGUAAAAAUAUAGAACAAUCUAACAAUUUAACCUUUAUUUAACUAGGCAAGUCAGGUAAGAACAAAUUCUUAUUUAUAAUGAAGGCCUACCCCGGCCAAACCCGGAUGACGCUGGGCCAAUUGUGCACCACCCUAUGGCACUCCCAAUCACGGACGGAUGUGAUACAGCCUGAAUUCCAACCAGGGACUGUAGUAAAGCCUCUCGCACCAAGAUGCAGUGCCUUAGACCGCUGUGCCACUCGGGAGCCAUGACCAAUAUAUAUAUAUAUUUUUCUGAACAUUACCCGUGUGUAGGUAGAUGUGGCAAGAUAGUACAAAUUAUUUUUUGGGGGGGGUUCACACCUAGCUCAAGUUGGGGGGUGUUUCACACCUAGCUUUGCUAUUAGACAGUUCUUUAGUAAAGGUUGAAUAGUCAAUUGUUCAGCUAAUAGCCCAUCCUGCUACACUUGUGAAAAACGAAUAAUAAUACUUUUUCUCCUUUCCACAUGUUGAAGAUUCCAAUUGAUAAAGUGUUUUUAGCCACAAUCGGCCCCAACCCCAAUUAAUACAUUUGUGCACAGUCGAUUGCAUACCGGGCUAGAAUGUUGAGGGUUCGAAACCUGCUCCCUGCUUGUUUCUACACCUGCAUUCUAGCUGUUUGGGGUUUUAGGCUGGGUUUCUGUACAGCACUUCGGGAUAUUAUCUGAUGUACGAAGGGCUAUAUAAAAUAAAAUUGAUUGAUUGAUUGAUUGUUUCAUAACAACAUUAUUAUGCUAGUCUGAGAGUAAAUAGCCUGGAUUGUUACUCCCAUCUCAUUCCUGCUCUCUUCCACGCGUCAUUCUCCGCCUGAGUGGCUCGCUUGUGGGCGUGCUGGUAGGAUGUACUGUUUUUUAUUCUGUAUAUAUGAAUUACAAAUCAGCAUUUACUUAAAUCAUGUUUCUAGUCUAUUGCAUAGUUACAAUGUGUAAUCAUUGAUGUCCCAGGAGCAGGAGUGAUUAAUACUGCUGAGGUGUGUAAUUGUAAUACAUACAUGCAGGCACAGAAUCAUUCAAAGAAUGGAGUUUGAUACACUUUGUAUUGGAUAUGACUGAAAAAAAACUUGCUAGAUAGCCAUUUUGUAAAUUAACUUUAUGACAAAAAGAUAUGUACAAUCGUUUGUCUCUUCGUUAACUAACAUAUUCCUCUUAAUUGUACAUGUUUUGCUUGACUCGUUAUGACGUUAUAAUUACUUAAAGGAACCACUGUACAAGUGAAGAAAAUUGAAAUUCAACGGUAACACCGAAUCUACAGUGGCAAUAAUAUUAUUAUAAUUAUAAUAGUUUUAGAAACUUUAGAGUGUUUUCUAUCCAAAUCUACCAAUUAUAGCCAGUGAAAGUGCAGGGCGCCAAAUUCAAACAACAGAAAUCUCAUAAUUAAAAUUCCUCAAACAUACAUGCAUCUUAUACCAUUUUAAAGGUAAUCUUGUUGUUAAUCCCGCCAAAGCGUCCGAUUUCAGCGAAAGCACCACAAACGAUUAUGUUAGGUCACCGCAAAAUCACAGACAAACACAGUCAUUUUUCCAGCCAAAGACAGGAGUCACAAAAACCAGAAAUAGAGAUAAAAUUAAUCACUAACCUUUGAUCUUCAUCAGAUGACACUCAUAGGACUUCAUGUUACACAAUACAUAUGUUUUGUUCGAUAAAGUUAAUAUUUAUAUACAAAAUCCUCAGUUUACAUUGGCGCCAUGUUCAGCAAUGCCUCCAAAAUAUCCGGAGAAAUUGCAGAUAGCCACGUCAAAUAAUAAAUACUCAUCAUAAACUUUGAUGAAAGAUACAUGUUUUACAUAGAAUUAAAGAUACACUUGUUCUUAAUGCAACCGCUGUGUCAGAUUUCAAAAAGCUUUACAGCAAAAGCACAAUAUUCAAUAAUCUGAGAACAGCGUUCAGCCAAAAAAGCAAGCCAUACAGUUACCCGCCAAAUUGUGCAGUCAACAAAACUCAUAAAAAGCAUUAUAAAUCUUCACUUACCUUUGCUGAUCUUCGUCGGAAUGCACUCCCAGGACUCCCACUUCCACAAGAAAUUUUCAUUUUGUUCGGUAAUGUCCAUCAUUUAUGUCCAAAUAGCUAUUUUUGUUAGCGUGUUUGGUAAUCAAAUCCAACGUCAGGAAGCGCGUUCACUAAAAGCAGACGAAAUGUCCAAAAGUUCCGUAACAGCCAGUAGAAACAUGUCAAACGAUGUAUUGAAUCAAUCUUUAGAAUGUUUUUAACAUAAAUCUUGAAUAACGUUCCAACCGGAGAAUUACAUUGACUUCAGAUGUGCGAUGGAACAUAGCUCCCUCUCAUGUGAACGCGCAUGGUCAGAGCAUGGUCAGGUCAUGAUAGACCUGACUAAUUCCUGUCUCUUUCGGCCCCACUUCACAGUAGAGGCAUCAGCCAAGGUUCUACAGACUGUUGACAUCUAGUGGAAGCCGUAGGAAGUGCAAACUCAUCCAUAUCUCACUGUGAAUCUAAUAGGAUCUUGGUUGAAAAUCGACCAGCCUCAGAAUUCCCACUUCCUGUUUGGAUUUUUUCUCAGGUUUUUGCCUGCCAGAUGAGUUCUGUUAUACUCACAGACAUCAUUCAAACCGUUUUAGAAACUUCAGAAUGUUUUCUAUCCAAUACGAAUAAUAAUAUGCAUAUAUUAGCAACUGGGACUGAGGAGCAGGCAGUUUACUAUGGGCACCUCUGGGCACCUUUCAUUCAAGCUACUCAAUACUGCCCCUGCAGCCAUAAGAAGUUAAAUUCCCAUGCUUUGAAUUCCGCUAUCAAGGGUACCAAAUGCUUAGAAUACAUCAGACGCAAAAAGGUUGAUAUCGCCCUAAUACAAGAAACCCGCCUCAAACAUUCUGAUGUCAAUAAAUUCCAAAACAGAUACUAUAAAUGUGUUGCUCACUCCUCAGCCACUAAUAAAAUGAAAGGUGUUUUAAUAUUAUUUGAUAAAAAAGACUACGCGUUCAGGUUGUUGAUGGUUCUGAUAAUGACGAUGAAGGACGUUUCGUAUUUGUAACUACGGUUAUAAAUCACACUAAGAUGUGUUUUGCCUCAAUAUAUUGCCCAAACAUAUCGAAUUCUAAUUUCCUUAGUUCUAUCUCAAAAAGACUAUUAGAUCUUUCAGAAUACCAACUUGUUGUGGGAGGAGAUUUUAAUCAGGUAUGUAAUUCUCAGUUAGAUAGGUCUCAUCUUUCAUCGCACUCUCAAACUGAUCAGGCUUCUGGUGAUCUCAUCUCAUUUCUGCAGAGCUUAAUAUUUUAGAUGCCUGGCAUCUAACGAAUUUGACUGUCAAAGAUUACACUUUCUUUUCUUCAAGACAUAAUACAUUUUCACGGAUACACUACAUAUUUGUAUCUCCCUAUAUAAACAGGUGUAAUCAGACAACCGAGCUGCUCCCUAUAGUCAUUUCUGACCAUGGAGCUGUCCUGUAUAGUAUCUUACUUGACAGCUAAAAACAGAAAGGUGACAGAAAAUGGCGCUUCAACGCAACAUUGCUGCAGAAUAAGGCAUUUUUGACAAAACUUUCAGCAAAGUUGAAAGAAUUUUUAUUGUUUAAUAAAGAUACAGCCACAUCCCCAUAGUCACUUUGGGAGGUGACAAAAUGUUUUCUGAGGGGAAACUGUACCUUGUUUGCCUCACAUCUCAACUCGCAGUAAAAAAGUAGUUGAUCUGGAAAAACAGAUUGCUCUGGUUGAAAAUGAGCAGAAACAAAAAUGUACAGAGCAAAAGGGGAAGAUUUUAACAGCAUUAAAACAUGAGCAUAACACUUUACUACAAUCUAAAGCAAAAUGUAUAAUGCACCGCACAAGAGUAACAUGCUAUUCUGCAGGGGAGAAAGCUAGUAGACUUUUGGCUGCAAGGCUUAAGCAAAAUGAGGCGUUUUCUUGUAUCAAUACAAUUCAAACACCAACUGGUAAGAUAUCACAUGACCGGGCAGAAAUUAAUGAUUUGUUAUGGCAGUUUUAUUCCCAAUUAUAUACGUCAGAGGCGGACCCUGAUCACAGUAAGAUGACACACCUCUUAUCAUCAUUGGGCCUUCCCAAACUCGACAGAGAGCAAUCUGGAUUCCUUGAUUCCCCACUUCCUCUUGAAGAACUCAGGAAUCAUUAACAUCUAUGAAAAGAGGCAAAUCACCAUGACUUGAUGGUUUCCCUCCUGAGAUGUUUCUUGAAAUAUGGGAUAUUGUUGGGCCACUAAUUCUUGGAUCUAUCAAUCAUGCAUUAAAACAUGGAGAAUUCCAGAACAAAACACCUCAUUGAUUAUAGUUUUGUUAAAAAAGGGCAAAUCUCCCCUAGACUGUAAAAUGUAUAGGCCCUUAAGCCUUAUUACAACAUAGCUCAAGCUGUUUGCAAAGGUACUUGACAUCAGAUUAGAACUGCUUGUAGGACAAGCAGCGAUCAAACUGGGUUUAUAAAGGGUAAUUUAGCCUCAGACAAUAUUAGACGUCUAUUCCAUAUCAUAAAUGAGUCUGAAAACAACCCACUUUUUAGUUUGGAUGCAGAAAAAGCCUUUGAUAGGCUAGAAUGGAACUAUUUAUGGUGUGUUUUGGAGCCUUUGGUUUUGGUAAAGGAUUUAUCUCCAUGUUAAAAACUUUGUAUUCUGCAUCCCAAGCAGUUAUGCCGAUGGGAAACAUUCUAUCCAAGUCUUUCUGUCUACAACAACACAGAAAAAAUGGCGCCGACAGAGAUUGUCGCCUCGCUUCACGUUCUUAGGAAACUAUGCAGUAAUUUUUUUAAUGUAUUAUUUCUUACAUUGUUACCCCAGGAAAUCUUAUUACAUACAGCCGGGAGGAACUAUUGGAUAUAAGAGCAACAUCAACUUACCAACAUUACGACCAGGAAUACGACUUUCCCAAAGCAGAUCCUCUCUUCGGACCACCACCCAGGACAAUGGAUCUAAUCCCAGCAGCUGACCGAAAACAACAGCGUUGCAGACGGAGCGGUCUUCUGGUCAGGCUUUGGUCACUGCUCCCAAGUAUACCCACCCACCUCUUUAAGGAAUACCUAGGAUAGGAUAAAGUAAUCCUUCUGACCCCCCCCCCCUUAAAAGAUUUAGAUGCACUGUUGUAAAGUGGCUGUUCCACUGGAUGUCAUAAGGUGAAUGCACCAAUUUGUAAGUCGCUCUGGAUAAGAGCGUCUGCUAAAUGACUUAAAUGUAAUGUAAAUGUAUACUACUCCCCAACGUCCAGUCUCUUGACAACAAGGUAGACAAAAUUCGAGCAAGGGUUGCCUUCCAGAGAGACAUCAUUCUCUGUUACAUAGAAACAUGGCUCUCUCGGGAUAUGCUGUCGGAAUCGGUCCAGCCACCGGGCUUCUCCAUGCAUCACGCCGACAGAGAUAAACACCUCUCUGGGAAGAGGAAGUGUGGGGGUGUAUGCUUAAUGAUUAACAACUCAUGGUGUGAUCAUAACAACACACAGGAACUCAAGUCCUUCUGCUCACCCGACCUAGAAUUCCUUACAAUCAAAUGCCGGCCAUUCUACCUACUAAGAGAAUUCUCGUCAGUUAUAGUCACAGCUGUGUACAUCCUCCCCUCAAGCGAACACCAAGAUGGCCCUCAAGGAACUUCACCUGACUCUAUGUAGUAAACUGGAAACUAUAUACCCAGAGCCUGCAUUUACUGUAGCUGGGGAUUUUAACAAAGCAAAUUUUAGAUCAAUGUUACCUACAUUUUAUCAGCAUAUUGAUUGCACAACACGUAGGGCUAAUGCUCUCGACCACUGCUACUCUAACUUCCGCGAUGCAUACAAAGCCCUCCCCUGCCCUCCCUUCGUCAAAUCCGACCACGACGCCAUCUUGCUCGCCCUGGCUUAUAGGCAGAAACUCAAUCAGGAUGUACCUGUGACGAGAACCAUUCAAUGCUGGUCUGACCAAUCGCCAUUUAUAAAAAAGUGCAUUGGAGAUGUCACACCCACUGUGACUAUUAAAACCUACCCUAACCAGAAACCGUGGAUGGAUGGCGGCAUUCGCGUAAAACUGAAAGCGCGAUCCAUUGCAUUUAACCAUGGAAAGAGGUCUUAUGAUAUAGCUGAAUAUAAACAGUGUAAUUAUUCCCUCCGCAAGGCAAUCAAACUAGCGAAAUGCCUGUACAGGGACAAGGUGGAGUCGCAAUUCAACGGCUCAGACACGAGACGUAUGUGGCAGGGUCUACAGGAAAUCACGGACUACAAAAACCAAAACAGCCACAUCACGGAUACCGACGUCACGCUUCCAAACAAACUAAACACCUUCUUUGUCCAACUUUGAGGAUUAUACAGUGCCACCGUCACGGCUCGCUAACACCCUCUCCUUCUCAGUGGCUGACGUGAGUAAAACAUUUAAACAUGUUAACGCUCGCAAGGCUGAUGGCCCAGACGGCAUCCCUAGCCGUGUCCUCAGAGCAUGCGCAGACCAGCUGGCUGGUGUGUUAACGGACAUAUUUAAUCUCUCCCUAUCCCAGUUUGUUGUCCCCAUAUGCUUCAAGAUGGCUACCAUUGUUCCUGUACCAAAGAAGGCAAAGAUAACUGAACUAAAUGACUACCGCCCCAUAGCACUCACUUCUGUCAUCAUGAAGUGCUUUGAGAGGCUAGUCGAGGAUCAUAUCACCACCAGCUUACCGGCCACCCUAGACCCACUUCAGUUUGCAUACCGCCCCAACAGGUCCACAGUUGACUCAAUCGCCAUCGCCAUCGAACUGCACAUUGCCCUAUCCCAUCAGGAAAAAAAUAAUACAUAUGUAAGAAUGCUGUUCAUUGACUACAGCUCAGCAUUCAACACCAUAGUACCCUCCAAGCUCAUCAUCAAGCUGGAGUCCUUGGGUCUCAACCCCUCACUGUGCAACUGGGUCCUGGACUUUCUGACGGGCCGCCCCCAGGUGGUGUAGGUAGGAAAAAACAUCUCCACUUCGCUGACCCUCAACACUGGGCCCCCACAAAGAUGUGUGCUCAGCCCUCUCCUAUACUCCCUGUUCACCCACGACUGCAUGGCCAUGCACACUUCCAGCACAAUCAUCAAGUUUGCAGAUGACUCUACAGUAGUGGGCUUGAUCACCAACAACGACGAGACAGCCUACAGGGAUGAGGUGAGGGCACUCGGAGUGUGGUGUCAGGAAAACAACCUCUCACUCAACGUCAACAAAACAAAGGAGAUGAUCGUGGACUUCAGGAAACAGCAGAGGGAGCAUCCCCUAUCCACAUCGAAGAGACAGCCAUGGAGAAGGUGGAAAGUUUUAAGUUCCCGGGCGUACACAUCACAGACAAAAUGAAAUGGCCCACCCACACAGAUAGUGUGGUGAAGAAUGCCCAACAGCACCUCUUCAACCACAGGAGGCUGAAGAAAUUUGGCUUGUCAUGCAAAAUCCUGACAAACCUUUACAGAUGCACAACCGAGAGCAUCCUGUCGGGCUGUAUCACAGCCUGGUACGGAAACUGCACCGCCCUCAACCGCAAGGCUUUCCAGAGGGUGGGGCGGUCUGCCCAAUGCAUCACCGAGGGCAAACUACCUGCACUACAUAACACCUACAGAACCCGAUGUCACGGGAAGGCCAAAAAGAUCAUUAAGGUCCCGUGUGGCUCAGUUGGUAGAGCAUGGCGCUUGCAACGCCAGGGUUGUGGGUUCAUUCCCCACGGGGGGACCAGGAUGAAUAUGUAUGAACUUUCCAAUUUGUAAAUCGCUCUGGAUAACAGCGUCUGCUAAAUGACUUAAAUGUAAUGUAAAUGUAAUUAAGGACAACCCCGAGCCACUGCCUGUUCACACCGCUAUCAUCCAGAAGGCGAGGUCAGUACAGGUGCAUCAAAGCUGGGACCGAGCGAUUGAGAAAGAGCUUCUGUCUCAAGGCCAUCAGACUGCUAAACUGCAAUCACUAACUCAGAGAGGCUGCUGCCCAUAUUGAGACCCAAUCACUGGCCACUUUAUAAAUGGAUCACUAGUCACUUUAAACAAUGCCACUUUAAAUAAUUUCACUUGAAUAAUGUUUACAUAUCUUACAUUACUCAUCCAAAUGUGUAUACUCGGUUUGAUUUAGCAUUCGUGCUCCUAGUAGCCAUGUUGUACUUUUCAAGUGCUGCGUAAUGUAAACGUCCCUGUGUCCUGUGGAUUUUCAAUGGAGAAUGAGCCGUGUUGCGUGCAGCCAGAGGACAAUGGCUGUUACUCCUACAAAGGGCCAUCACAUACUCAUGUAAAGCCCACCUCAUUGGCUAUCUAGCGAGCUAUGUUUCAAAACGAUAGGUGGUCAUUGGACCAAGAGACUGUCAGGGCAGUUAAUCCACUGUUCCUAGGCCAUCAUUGAAAAUAAGAAUUAGUUCUUAACUGACUUGCCUAGUUAAAUAAAGGUAAAAUAAAUCAAAUAAAAAUCAAGUGAACACCGCCCGUCUCAUUGGUGCGCAAUGAUGUCUGUCCUUCGUGGGCUAAUAGACGUGUUGUGUAGCCAAUACGUAAUAUAGAACGAUGAAACAAAGUUUGUUUGCCUUCUAGAGUGUCUGAGGACUGCACAGAACUUGACUGGUUGAAACAAAGUUUAGCCAUUUAGAUUUCAUAGAUUGUUUUGUUGCAAGUUGAAGGAGUCGGAAUUCAUGCGAAACGCUGUAUACAACAUGGACCGUGUUAGGAUAUAAAUAUUGAUUUUAUCAAACAUAACUACGCUACAUUUUAUCUCUGGGACCCUCAGAAUGACAAAUCAGAACAACAUUACUGAAUGUAAUGAAGUUGCCUUGAUAAAAGUGUUUUGUUGUUGUGCACUUUCCUGAAACAAUAGCAUGGUAUUUCUUCGAUGCAAUAGCUACUGUAAAUUAGACACUGCAGUUAGAUUAAUUAAUUAAUUGAAAUGCAUUCCAGGUGACUACCUCAUGAAGCUGGUUGAGAGAAUGCCAAGAGUGUGCAAAGAUGUCAUCAAGGCAAGGGUGGCUACUUUGAAGAAUCUCAAAUAUAUAUAUUUGGAUUUGUUUAACACUUUUUUGGUUACUACAUGAUUCCAUGUGUGUUAUUUCAUAGUUUUCAUGUCUUCACUAUUAUUCUACAAUGUAGAAAAUAGUACAAAUAAAGAAAAACCCUGGAAUGAGUAGGUGUGUCCAAACUUAUGACUGGUACUUUAAAUGUAAUAAUAAGUAACAUGAACACACUGAUUACAAGUAGGCAAAUGUUUAAUUGAAUGGUUUACCUUGUGGUAGGUUUUGUAGGCUUUGACACUCUUAUGUAGGUGUCAUAACCAGCCAUAAAAUAACACAAUAUAUGUCACAACAGGUCUAAAAAUAUGGAAUUACAGUGUUAUGACAAUAUUGACAGGUUAUGGCAAUUUAUGUCAGCUGUUAUAACAUGGUUAUGAUUGCAUCAUGACUCUAUGCGUCAAAUGAAGUGUUACCGAAAUAUAACAAGCUGGUAUUUAAAAAUACUUCUGUCAUUUCACUACAUUUUGGAACAUUGCUGCGGGGACUUGCUUCUUUCAGUCACAAGAGCAUUAGUGAGGUCGGACACUGAUGUUGGGCGAUUAGGCCUGGCUUGCAGUCGGCGUUCCAAUUCAUUCCAAAGGUGUUCGAUGGGGUUGAGGUCAGGGCUCUGUGCAGGUAUCUUUCAUACAAAUCUUAACCUUGUGACCCAUUCUAUAUAUCUGUUGUUCGUCAUGUAGGUUGUGUCGUGGAAAAUUGCAAGAUUAUGUUAUAGUGCUUGUAAAAUUAUAUUAUAAUCUUUGUAUUGCAUUAGAAUGGUUGUUUUAUUCGACAGAAUAGAGGAUUCUGUCGACUAUUGUGUGUGUGUGUUCCACUGAGGAUGGGCCUCUAUGAGAUAGCACUGACAGAGGAGAUUUACGAUGUCUUUGGGUAAUAAAGCCUAAAGAGCAUUCCAGAUAGUAAAGGUAAUGUUUUUGUGCUAUACCAUACCAGGGUGAGACGGGUUCCAGUUUGGAGUAGGAGGGGGCCAGACACUGGUCUUUACAAUGAGAACUGUUGACACAGCAGUAACUGUCUGCUAUGUUUUAUAGAUAUCUUUCAUACAAAUCUUAACCUUUGUGAACUGUUCCUAAGAUUUGUGGUUCGUCAUGUAAGUUGAGAGGGGUGUAUCUUGGCUAUAAAAGAUCUUUGUAUUCUUCUGUAGGGGCUCUCAAAAUUCAUUAUAGAUAGUGAAUUGUUGAAAGUCAAAGGCUAAAGCUUAAAGCUCAUUAAAGAUGAAGUUUAGGUAUAACUCUGACUGGUGUGUAGUUUGUAACUCCUCAUUUGGUAAUACAGGAAAAUGCCAUCACACUUGAAAGGGGUGUAUCUUGGCUAUAAAAGACCUUUGUACUUUUGUCUCGGGGCUCUCAACGAAUCACCUUAGCGUGAUUCGUCGACCAGCCAUCGCUAUUGCAAAGCUCUCACUAAUAAAGAUUCAGUUCAUGUAUAACUCUGACUUGUGUGAUAAGUUUGUCUCUCCUCAUUUGAUAAUAAAGAAAUGAACAGUAUUCCGUUUAUCAUACACUACAUGACCAAAUGUAUGUGGACACCUGCUUGUCAAACAUCUCAUUCCAAAAACAUGGGCAUUAAUAUGGAGUUGGUCCCUCCUUUGCUGCUAUAACAGCCUCCACUCUUCUGGGAAGGCUUUUCACUACAUUUUGGAACAUUGCUAUGGGGACUUGCUUCCAUUCAGUCACAAGAGCAUUAGUGAGGUCGGACACGGAUGUUGGGCGAUUAGGCCUGGCUUGCAGUCGGCGUUCCAAUUCAUCCCAAAGGUGUUCGAUAGGGUUGAGGUCAAGGCUCUGUGCAGGCCAGUCAAGUUCUUCCACACUGAUCUCGACAAACUAUUUCUGUAUGGGGGUCAAAGACGAGACGUAAAUUUGGUGUCCGAAUGCCAUUCAUUUAACAUAAAAAGAUUUAUAUGUAUAAAUAUUAUGUUAAAUCACUCAACUCUUACCCUUCUUUUGACCCAGAAAUAUUUGUGUUGCAAACUAUUAAAUUAAGAGAGUUAUUGAGCUCUAAAGUGUCAAAAUGUCCUUCACUGUAACUGUCGGUGUAACGGCAGCCUUCCUCCUCUUCACGAGAAGAGGAGGUGUAGCAGGGAUCGGACCAACACGCAGCGUAGCCAGUGCUCAACAUGUUUAAUAGACUUAACUUCUCUGGGAUAGUUGGGACGCUAGCGUCCCAACUGACAAGCACCCCCAACCCCCCCCUCACUUAUUAGCAUCGCGUCACAAUGAAAAGGAAAAUUCUAAAUAUCAUAAAAUCACAAGUCCAAGACACCAAAUGAAAGAUACAGAUCUUGUGAAUAAAGCCACCAUUUCAGAUUUUUAAAAUGUCUUACAGGGAAGACAAAAUAUGUAAAUCUAUUAGCUAACCACGUUAGCAAAAGACACCAUUUUUCUUUGUCCACCAUUUUUUUUCUCCACCAGUAGCUAUCACCAAUUCGGCCAAAUAAAGAUAUUGAUAGCCACUGACCAAGAAAAAACCUCAUCAGAUGACAGUCUGAUAACAUAUUUAUUGAAUAGGAUAGGUUUUGUUAGAAAAAUGUGCAUAUUUCAGGUAUAAAUCAUAGUUUACAAUUGCACCCACCAUCACAACUCGACUAGAAUAAAUACAGAGAGCAACGUGUAUUACCUAAUUACUAAUCAUAAAACAUUUCUUAAAAAUACACAGCUCACAGCAAUGAAAAGACACAGAUCUUGUGAAUUCAGACAAUAUUUCAGAUGUUCUAAGUGUUUUACAGCGAAAACACAAUAAAUCGUUAUAUUAGCAUACCACAUGUGCAUUGAUUCAAGCCAAAGAGAGCGAUAACGUAAUCAUCGCCAAAAUAUAUAAAUUUUUUCACUAACCUUCUCAGAAUUCUUCCGAUGACACUCCUGUAACAUCAUAUUACAACAUACAUAUAGAGUUUGUUCGAAAAUGUGCAUAUUUAGCCACAGAAAAACGUGGUUAUACAAUGACAAUACUAGCAAAACUAGCCUGAAAAUGUCGGGCGCCAUAUUUGACAGUGAUCUUGUCUCAUGAAUAACUAUUCAUAAACUUGACUAAAAAAAUAUAAGUUGGACAGCUAUCGAAAGACAAAUUAGUUCUUAAUGCAAUCGCUGAAUUACAUUUCUAAAAUUAUCCUUACUGUGCAAUACAGGGUUCGCCAAGCGAAGCUAUACCAAAAAAAAUGGCGGAAUAUGCGUUUAUCAUUUUUCGACAGAACAACGAUUUAUCAUCUUAAAUAUUUCUUACUAUGAGGUGAUCUUCCAUCAGAAUCUUGGGCAAUGUAUCCUUUCUUGGGUCUAAUCUUCUUUUGGUCGAAAGAUGUCCUCUUGUCCGUCGAAAUGCCCACUAACGUUCGACCGGGACCCCGAAACGUGCCCGGCGCUUCAAAGUGCAUCACAAAGCAAUGCCUCAAAAUCGCACUAAAAGGAUAUAAAUUGCUAUAAAACGGUUUAAAUUAACUACCUUAUGAUGUUUUUAACACCUAUAACGAGUAAAAACAUGACCGGCGAUAUAUUACUGGCUAAACAACAGCUUGGAAAGAGAGCAGGUCCGACGUCCAUCGUGCGUCAGGCGCAGGGAGCAAAAGAACGGUACAUCCGGUCUUUGGCCUUUUAUACAGGCCCUGAUUGCGCAAUCGACUCCAUUCAAAUUGUCACCACUUACUGACAUCUAGAGGAAGGCGUGGGCAGUGUUUGUAUCCUCAUAGCAUUUACAGGGACAUUAAAACUGACCUGGGACCAGAAGCCAAGAUUUCUGAAAUCUCACUCCAUAUCAGGAAAAGUGCUGUAGAAUGAGUUCUGUUCCACUCAGAGACAUAAUUCAAACGGCUAUAGAAACUAGAGAGUGUUUUCUAUCCAAUAAUAGCAAUAAUAUGCAUAUUGUACGAGCAAGAAUUGAGUACUAGGCAGUUUAAUUUGGAGACCAAUUUUCCCUAAGUCGAAACAGCACCCCCUAUAUCCCAGAGAGGUUAAACAGUGAACACUUACAAAUACAAAAAUAACAAACGUGGCAAACCGAAACAGUCCUCUCUGGUGCAAUGAACACAAAGACAGGAAACAACCACCUACAAAAUCCCAACACAAAACAAGCCACCUAAAUAUGAUUCCCAAUCAGAGACAACACAAAACACCUGCCUCUGAUUGAGAACCAUAUUAGGCCAAACAUAGAAACAGACAAACUAGACACACAACAUAGAAUGCCCACCCAGCUCACGUCCUGACCAACACUAAAACACGUAAAACACACAAGAACUAUGGUCAGAACGUGACAGUACCCCCCUCCUGAGGUGCGGACUCCGAACGCACCACCUAAAACUCUAGGGGAGGGUCUGGGUGGGCAUCUGUCCGCGGUGGCGGCUCCGGCGCUGGACGAGGAUCCCACUCCACCAUUGUCUUUGUCCCCCUCCUUAGCGUCCUUUGAGUGGCGACCCUCGCCGCCGACCUUGGCCUAGGAACCUUCACCAAGGUGACUGAGAGACAACCUCCGGACUGAGGGACAACUCAUGACAGAGAGGUAGCUUAUGACA